CAUAAUAGAGGACUCAAGACCUUAUAAAUUGUGCAUUAAUGUCAAGUAGUAUUCAACUUUCAUCCAAGUUAUCCAACCAAAAAUCUGAAGAGGGUAUAAGUGAAAAUAUGGGUGGAACUUCAUGUGUGAGAAAAAGUGUGUUGCUGAUCAUGAUGAUUCUGAAUAUUGUAGAACUUGUAGUGCAGGCUGAUGAUCCUCCCGCUCCCGCUCCCUCUCUCCCUCCGCCCUCUUACGUUUUAACUGUGCCUCACUUUCCCUCUCCCUACUCUCAACAAGAUCAUUUCCCUGAAUGGUACGACUGUUAUCAUAAGUGGCUCGUGCGUUGCGAUAAAAUCAAAAAACCCAAGGAGUUACGAAAAAUAAGAUUGGGAUGGGGUAUGUACAGAGGUUGUUUGCAUCUCAUAAAAAAAAUUUGCAAAGUUCCCUCAGAUCUAGAUCAUAUUGCCUAUCGUUGAGCUGUUAAUCGUUUUAGAUUCCCAAGCAAAGCUACUGGUUUUGAUGCCUAAAGGAUCCUUGCCUGUAUGGUAUCUUGGAGUUCUUUUAUUUACUAAAAUACUCUCUGCACUGGACUGUGAGACUUUAGUGACUAAAGGUGGCUGGGAGAAUUGAUUCUUGGUUGGUCAAGCAUCUCUCUUUUGUUGGGAGGUUGAAACUUGUUUCCUAUAAUCUUUUCAGCAUUCAGAUUUACUGGUCCAAGUUGUUUAUUCUACCUAAGAAGGUAAUCUGGCUGCUUGAACAAAAGUUCAUCCGGUUUCUAUGGUAUGGUAACGACUCCAAAGCUAAGGCUAAGGUGUCGUGGGAUAAAGUUUGCUGUCCUAAGGAGGAAGGAGGGCUUGGGCUUAAAGGGUUGGAAGUUUGGAACCGUGCUGCAAUGCUCCAUCAUCUCUGGAGUUUAUUUGCUCAGGCCGGGUCCCUUUGGGUUGAGACUAAUUGGCUUAGAGGUAGAAGUUUUUGGCAGAUUCCAAUUCCUAAGAGCUGUCCUUGGAGUUGGAAAAAAACUUCUUAACCUCUGGGAAGUUGCCAAGGAGUUCUUGAGCUUCAAAGUGGGAACGGGCCAUAACAUUUCUCUUUGGUUUGAUGCAUAGCACCCGACUGGAAGGCUACUCGACAUAUACGGUUUUCGGGCUAUCUAUAACUCUGACAUUGGACUGAAUGCCCAUGUCUCUUUUGUUCUACAUAAUGCCUCCCGGAACUGCCCCCUGCUAGAUCGGAUGAUUUGGUUACUAUUCAAGCAAGGCUUCUAGGUACUAAAGUUGGAGAAGUGGAUGUGGCUAUGUGGAAGUCCAAGAGUGGUGUCUACUCUUAUGGAGAAACUUUGCAUUUCCUUUUAGAGCUAAGUUCCCUUGUGGUCCCUUUGUGGAAGGUAGUGUGGCACUCACUGGCUAUUCCUUGCCACGCUUUUAUACUGUGGCUGGUGUUUAGGCAGGCCCUUGCAACCAAGGAGAGAAUGUGUGGCGCGGCUAGGGCUUUAUGGGACAUACUUUAUGUCGCUUCUGUUUUCAUGUACAGGAAUCGAUCGACCAUCUUUUUUUCUAUUGUAGUUUCAGCCGUAGAAUAUGGAGAAACCUGAUGGAGGCUUGCUUAAUUCCUAGUCCUAGUGUUAGCUAGGAUGACAUUGUGAUUUGGUCUUGCAAUCUUAAGGGUAAAGGGUUGCAAACCACUCUUUGCAAGCUUAGUUUGGCUGCAGCUAUAUACCAAAUUUGGAGUUUGAGAAAUGAGCUUUGAUUUGGCAAAUUCCCCUUGUCGGAGGAAGCCUUGGUUGCUCGAAUCAAAUGGGAUAUUAGGACUAUGGUGAUGACUCGAAAAUUCAAGAGAUCUCCUCUUGACAUUCAGCUUUCGGCAUUUUUGGUUGUUGUAAACUUGUAAUAGUUUGGGUUUAGCUAGUUCUAGUUUUUUGUUUGUUUGUUUGUUGUACGGUGCUUUGGGGUCUAGUUUCUGGAGUGAUGUAAUUGUUUAUGUUUGGUUGUAAAAGUUUUGAUUCAUCCAAGAAAAAAAAAAAAAAAAAGAAUUGCCUUUUUAAUUAAGCAAAAAUUAUAAGGCAAGAUGGUUGAGGUUGAAUACAAGAUUACAAAAAAAUUUAUGGGCA